rnacentral:lncRNA from 1 species
AGGUUUCAGCGACAUAUCUUGAUGGUUAUCGUGCAAUAGCAGUUUGUCCUGGGGUUGGUCCUCGAUCUGAUGAGAAGGCACUGAAGACAGUACAAGCUAUUUUUAAAAGGUGUUCAAGGCUAUUAAAGGAAAGAGGGUAUAAAGACUAUACAAAGACUCAUGUCCAUAUAAUGGGUGGAGGAAAGUCUUUAUCAGAAGCUGUCUCUUGGUUUGGAGUGGAGCAUCCUGUGAGAGAAGCUGUUGAGAUAUUUAGUACCGAAAUAGCACCAGCUGGCACUGGAAUGGCUCCUGGCCUCACUGCUAUAGUGGGAGGAAGACCAAAAGU